GACGUGUUGAAGAUAAGACACGAACUACUACAUCGGCUUGAGAUGUCUCUUUACUCAUUAGAAUAAAUAUCACAAUUUGUACAUGUUGCAGCUGGGUUAGCGCACAUUGGGCUGGUGGAUAUUCAUGAAAUGAAAUGAAGGCUAAUACGAAUUCCAACAAUGCUGAUGAGAAAGUUAUUCUUAGGAAAGAGUUGGGAUUUGUUGGUGCAACUUCCAUCGUUGUUGGAUCCAUCAUAGGUUCUGGGAUAUUUAUCUCUCCAAAAGGUGUUCUCGAAAAUACAGGUUCUGUUGGUCUAUGUCUCGUGGUGUGGACUGUGGCUGGAGUAAUCUCUCUU
rnacentral:sRNA from 1 species